rnacentral:rRNA from 1 species
UCUUAGUGGCGGACGGGUGAGUAACGCGUGGGUAACCUGCCUUAUACAGGGGGAUAACACUUAGAAAUAGGUGCUAAUACCGCAUAAGCGCACGGGGCUGCAUGGCCCAGUGUGAAAAACUCCGGUGGUAUAAGAUGGACCCGCGUCUGAUUAGCCAGUUGGCGGGGUAACGGCCCACCAAAGCGACGAUCAGUAGCCGGCCUGAGAGGGUGAACGGCCACAUUGGGACUGAGACACGGCCCAAACUCCUACGGGAGGCAGCAG